rnacentral:rRNA from 1 species
CUUCUAAGCUUCAGGUAACCAGGAACCGUACCCCAAACCGACACAGGUGGUCGGGUAGAGAAUACCAAGGCGCUUGAGAGAACUCGGGUGAAGGAACUAGGCAAAAUGGCACCGUAACUUCGGGAGAAGGUGCGCCGGCUAGGGUGAAGGAUUUACUCCGUAAGCUCUGGCUGGUCGAAGAUACCAGGCCGCUGCGACUGUUUAUUAAAAACACAGCACUCUGCAAACACGAAAGUGGACGUAUAGGGUGUGACGCCUGCCCGGUGCCGGAAGGUUAAUUGAUGGGGUUAGCGCAAGCGAAGCUCUUGAUCGAAGCCCCGGUAAACGGCGGCCGUAACUAUAACGGUCCUAAGGUAGCGAAAUUCCUUGUCGGGUAAGUUCCGACCUGCACGAAUGGCGUAACGAUGGCGGCGCUGUCUCCACCCGAGACUCAGUGAAAUUGAAAUCGCUGUGAAGAUGCAGUGUAUCCGCGGCUAGACGGAAAGACCCCGUGAACCUUUACUGUAGCUUUGCACUGGACUUUGAGCCUGCUUGUGUAGGAUAGGUGGGAGGCUUUGAAGCGUGGACGCCAGUUCGCGUGGAGCCAUCCUUGAAAUACCACCCUGGCAUGCUUGAGGUUCUAACUCUGGUCCGUGAUCCGGAUCGAGGACAGUGUAUGGUGGGCAGUUUGACUGGGGCGGUCUCCUCCUAAAGAGUAACGGAGGAGUACGAAGGUGCGCUCAGACCGGUCGGAAAUCGGUCGCAGAGUAUAAAGGCAAAAGCGCGCUUGACUGCGAGACAGACACGUCGAGCAGGUACGAAAGUAGGUCUUAGUGAUCCGGUGGUUCUGUAUGGAAGGGCCAUCGCUCAACGGAUAAAAGGUACUCCGGGGAUAACAGGCUGAUACCGCCCAAGAGUUCAUAUCGACGGCGGUGUUUGGCACCUCGAUGUCGGCUCAUCACAUCCUGGGGCUGAAGCCGGUCCCAAGGGUAUGGCUGUUCGCCAUUUAAAGUGGUACGCGAGCUGGGUUUAGAACGUCGUGAGACAGUUCGGUCCCUAUCUGCCGUGGACGUUUGAGAUUUGAGAGGGGCUGCUCCUAGUACGAGAGGACCGGAGUGGACGAACCUCUGGUGUUCCGGUUGUCACGCCAGUGGCAUUGCCGGGUAGCUAUGUUCGGAAAAGAUAACCGCUGAAAGCAUCUAAGCGGGAAACUUGCCUCAAGAUGAGAUCUCACUGGGAACUUGAUUCCCCUGAAGGGCCGUCGAAGACUACGACGUUGAUAGGCUGGGUGUGUAAGCGUUGUGAGGCGUUGAGCUAACCAGUACUAAUUGCCCGUGAGGCUUGACCA